CCCCUCGCAGGGUCGCACCUGGAGAGUUUUCAGUACUCUACCAGUCUUGACUAAGGGAGGGUCAGGCAGAGACCUACUCAUUCCAUUCCUAGCUUGGGCAGUGGCUAGCGAGUGGAAGGCAAUCGGCUCCAAGU